rnacentral:tRNA from 1 species
CUACCAGUGGUGAAAAUUAUCACGUUAUCUUUUCGAGAUAAAAGUGCUUAUAGCCUGGUACU